UCAACCUUUUGAUAGUAGAGAUGAAGCAAAUUGACCCAGUUUUAAUAUAAACAAAUACUUCUAAAAUUAAUAGAUCCUAGGGGCUGGAGAUGGCUCAGAGGUGAAGAGCACUGGCUGCUCCUCCAGAGGUCCUGAGUUCAAUCCCCAGCAACCACAUGGUGGCUCACAACCAUCUAUAAUGCCAUCUGGUGCCCUCUUCCGGCCUGCAGGAAGAACACUGUACAUAAUGAUUUAAAAAAAAUAAUAAUAGAAAAGAAAAAAAUACAUGCAGGCGUAACACUCAAAACACAUUUAUUUGUUGUAUCCGCUGUGGAGCCCUCUUCUGGCCUACAGGUACACAUGCAGGCAGAACACUGUGUACAUAAUAAAUAAAUCUUAAAAAAAGAGUUGUAUGAUAAAUUAAUAGAUCCUAAUUUAGAAUACUGGUAAACAAUUUGUACGUAACCCCUGAGCAGAACAAUAUAAAGCAAUUUUAAAAUUAUAUUUGAGCAACACAUAGUAGGAGACAGUAACAGUCUUAUAUUUUAAACCAACUUAAUUUGAAUAGAUAUUUAUAACUUUGAAAUUUUAUUAUUAGAUAAAGUUUAUUUGAAGCAGGGUUGAAUCAUAAGAUAGUAAAAUGUAACUUUGAAUUUUUAUAGAAAUCCAUACCAAUUUGAAAUAAGGCUCAUUAUUGUGGCCUAGUCUAAAAGGUAAGAUAAACAGUUAAUUAUGAUUAAGACUUAUAAAUGUAAACCCAAUGAGAAAAUUAGAUAAAGCAUUAGAUAAGGAAUUAAAAUAUAAGAGUAAAGAGUAAAGUGUAUAGAAAUCAGGGAGAAAAGAUUUUUUUUUAAAGCUUGGGAAAAGCCUCUUAGAAGAAAGCACCCAGGGAAACGAAAAGCAGCUUGGGGGGGGGCAAAGCACAUGGCUUACUCAGCGGCCAGGCAGGGCACUCGGGAGGCGGGGCCUCUUUGCCCGAACCCAAGAUGGCGCUGCGCCACGUUAAGUGAAUGGUUAAGCUAUAGUUUCGCCCAUUUCCUCCCAAGACCAACAUGGCUUCAGAAAUCUCGUGAGAUUUUAAAAUCCUGUGGGAGAUUUAAAAGUUUCCCGACUGUACUGGUUCCUGUCCUACCCAAAACAGCACGCCAAGGCUUUAAAGUUGAUUUUAGUGCGGAGUGAAUGUCCCAGGCUCGGCGUCGGAAUAGAAAACCCAUGGUCCCUUUUGGCUCGCCUCCCCCCAGGGGACCCGGGUAGAGCGCCUACCCUCUUACCAAACACUGCCGCUGCAGGCAGCACAGAGGUCCAAGCCGGGGCGGGGCUGGCCUUCCACCGCCGGAGCCACUGCGGCAGGAGCUGGACCCAAGCCUGGGGAGAGCGGAAGCAGCCCGGGAAACCAGGGAGGACCAUGGCCCCAGGGGGUCCGCCCACCGGAGCAAGCUGAUGCUAUGCAGGCCGAGCUCAGGCCUCCCUGAUCCAUGCACUUCUCUGAAAAUCCAGUGCAUGACCAGCGUGGAAAACAAUCUCCCCGGGGCGUGCGGCCGCUAGCCUGCCGCAGGGCAGGGAUGGGUGUCCACUGAGACACAGCAACCCCGUAGGACCUCAGAGGCACUGCGUUUGGCAAGCAGGCCAGCUACAGACACGGAGACUGCAGGCUCGCCUCGCCCUGAGAACCUGAAGGCUGGGCAGGAACUGACCGCGCCAGUGUCCUGAGCUGAACGGCAGAGGGCGACAGAGACACGCGGAAGAAACCCGAAGCGCACCAAACUUCUCAACUAGGAGUCUUUUGACAGUGAGGCAUGUCAGCUCCUGGCAGCACCAUCCAGCCUACCUCAAAGAAGAAGAGCAUCGAAGAAUCUCAUUUAGUUUGCUUCAAAGUGGCAGGCUGCUACUGAGCAAGAACCUGCCUUGCUUUAGCUGCUGUCCAAAACUACACAGGAAGUCAGCUGCUGAGCUUUGCAAGGACAAGGCAGGCUAGUCCUUCAUGAUUCUUGCUUCACAGAAAAGUACAUCAGAAGGCUGGCUAUGAUGCUCCGACAGCUGCUGAGGCACGUGGGUGGCUGUCCAGGUAGCUGGCGGCCUCUGUCUUCUCUCAUUUUGGAAGCUGCUCGCUCUGCACUUCCUACAAACUCAGGAGUACAGACAGUUGUGAGCUGCCAUGUGGGUCCUGGGAAUUGAACCUGGGUCCUCUGAAAGAACAGCCAGUGCUCUUGACCACAAAGCCUUCUUCCCAGCCCCGCAUUCACCCGGCUUUUGAGACAGGAUGUGAUGGUCAGUUUGUACUCACCUGGGAAGAGAGCUUCUGUGAAAGCAACUUUGACUCUCCUGCCUCAGUUGUCCUCUUGGAGCCUGCUGCCUCCUUCUGCUGACCUGGGCCUAGUCCUGGACGCUUCCAGCCUCCCUACAAUCUAACCGAGGCCUAGAACGUUUCCAGCCUCUGGGACUCACUGCUGAGAGGCCAGAAGAGGUCACUGGGUCCCUUGGAACUGCUCGUAAAUGUGGUCAGAUCCAACUUUGGACAGUAGAUGUUGCUGCUCAGUCCCUGUCGUCUGUGCCCCCCACUACCCCUGCGCAACAUGAUGCUGGGAAAGCGUGUGAACCACACCCUUAGGAGCCCCCACAGGAAAAGGAAGUCCACACCUGCUCAGUGCUGACACAAGUAUUUCAGAUCUGCGGCUGGAUGAAUCCGUGGAUGUGGAACUCAUGGGCAGAGAUGCAAUACCCUGACCCCCCCAUACUCUAAUGGAGUCAGCAGGCGUUAACGGAGCAGGGAUCGAUGCCAAGCGCUCUGAAGAGACCGUCACGCCCUGCCAGGAGAGCAGGAAGAAGGGCCUGAAACAGUCACUCCACACUGGAAUGAAAAUGCCAAGAAAGGCUGAAGCAGAAUGCUGCUUUCCUUGGGGAAACCUUUUCAAUCCCAACCCCGGGCUUUGUCCCAGCCAGACGCCCCUGUGGCUUCCUCUGCUGGCAGCCGUGUUCUGCUGUAAUCACUUACGCCUUCCUCAGUACAACCUUAACGGCAGCUGCCAUGCAGAGUCAGUUAAGCAUGGCCGAAGCCCCUUUCCCUCUAUUUUCUCUAGUCCAGACAGCACCCAGUCAGAUGAGGAAGACAUGGCUAUGUAGCUCAGAGUGGCCGAACCCUGAGUGCAGGGCCACCCAGUAACCAAUCCUCAAGAUGCACACCACCAUCAAUGGCGCACACUCUCAAAUGUGCCCCCGCAGCAGCUGCUCCACAGCACGUCCCAGCCGGGCCAUGGAGCCUCCUGCCUACCUCUAUCAAACACAGUCACUACUGCCACUCCCGCACCCAGGCUAUACAGCAAGUCUGUAACCCUGCUGGCACCCAGCAGGCCAGUGACCUUUCCUGGUACUCUUCCAAGGGGCAAUUCCAUCCACUCUGCACUAAAACUUACAAAGCCAAGCCUUGAGGCCAGUCCUACAGGUGGCCUGGUGCAAGGAUGUGGGCUGCUGAGACGCUGCCUGCCUCCCAGGCCAAGGCUCCACCACGUGACCGGGCCUGUCUGUGGGGUGUCCCACCUCCUACAUCAUUACUGCACGCUGGAAUCAGGGACCAGCAGGAUGGCUCAGCAGGACCUACAAGGUAGGAGAGCAGACGCCUCCAAACUCUUCUGUGACUGCUGCACACACAAACAGAAGUGAUAAACAGGGAGGGGGCUCGCUGGUUAACAGUAAGAAUUGCUCCUGCACAGAACCAGGCUCAGUUCCCAGAAACUGCCUGUAGUUCCAGCUACAAGGAUCCUCAAUCCCAAGGACACCUGCAGCGCCCCCCCCACCCCCAUGCACAUACCCACGUCAUAUGCACACCUACAUGCAAUUGAAAACACAUAACACAUUUCUCAGAGCAAUGUGGAGCACAUGGUAAGUACCCAACAGAUGCCAGCAGUCACGCCUGGCUGUACAUGGCCGUUAACUGUCUCCCAGCAUGGGUACAAACACGCUAUCUGUUUCUAAUCUUUGUGCUGCUCAAUGCUGAAAUAAACACAAGACAUCUGAUGCGUUCACAUAAUUUAAUGUCAGUACAUAUGCCAUGGUGUCACUAUGGAAUGUAAGUUCAGGCUGAUGGGAAUUUGACAGUGCACUAAGCAUUCUGUAUAUCCAAGUUUGUGUGGAAAGCUUUGAAAACGCAGCCCACCUCUCACCUCUCAGCUUCGGCACCCUAACAUCCAUGCUUCCUACAGAGAAGGUGGGCACUCGGCCUAUGGGAAGCCAGGCCCUUUAUCUGUGUGUUCCACUUACAGCAGCCAUUUCUGCUGGGGUGCAGCUCAGUGGCGCAGCUCAGGCCCAGCCUCUGUGGGACCCUGCAUUGAAUGCCCAGCACCACAAAAAAGAAGAAAAACACCUCUAUCUCAAGAUGGCAUUUAAGAACUAUCCUAUUACAAAGCAGCAAAAAUAUAACUUUGCAGUUAUAAAAAAAAGCCAACGUGGAGCCCACAAUUACUGUUUGUAAGUGUGACUAACAGACACUGCUCUUCCCAAGCUCUAUCAGCUUUCCAGGUUGCGCACGCGCGCGCGCGCACGCACGCGCGCGCGUGCGCGCCUCUCCCUGUCCUUCCCACUCAGUGACAGCCUUUAUAAGUUAGUUAUAUUUCAUGUACUCUUUGGGAAGCAUUUUCAGAAGUCUGAAGCCAGACCACAGACAAAGGAAUGAUCUGGGGCAAAGGGGAUUCCUCCCUGCCCCCCUUCCAAAGCCCGCCUGCGCUGCAGCGCUGUGUCUGGACUCUCUGCCCCCCCUUCCGGUGACUUUCAUCAUAAGUGUGUAAGGGAAGCACUGUCACCAACCCCGUUCAGGUGACAGGCCUCUCUUGUGUCAACCGACUCCCCUGAGUGACCAAGUUAUUUAACGAGUCAUUGACAGUUUGGUCACCAGGCAAACCAGGCUGGCAAGAAAGUACGCUGACAUUCAUACCGGUUAUCUCUAACCCACACGUUAUUUAUUAUAGACACAAACAUGGAACCUCAAUAUGAGACGUCUACCUAAGCAAGCACUUCCCAGACCAAGGCAGCGGCUCUUCUUCUAAGGCUUGCGCUUGGCCCAGAAUUCUUGAUACAUGGAAUAGGCCAUACCUAAGGAAAAAGGAGAAGAGCAUUAAACCCCCCUUCAGCACUCAGAAAGCACACUCCACAGCACAGCCACAAGCUGCCAACCGUGAGGGCUAGCGUCAGCAGCUCACAAUUCACACAAUUUUAAAAACAGCUACUACACAACACCAGAUGAUAUCGGUAUAUGGUGACGCCAGUAAAAGCAGGUACACUUUAGAAUCUUUCCUACCUUCCCAAGUUCAACACAACAACCAUAUCCUUCUCAAAAAACCGUUCCUGUCAACCUAUGCUCAGGAUUUGAUCAAUGACACUAAAGAGUUACAGAAUAAGGAUUUAUCUAUAACAGGAGAUAAAACUUUGUCACUGCUCUAAUUAACUAAUUAUUCCUUCACAAAAAAAUGCGAAGGGAUUUUCAGAUGGCUUCAAGAUCAGCAAAAAGAAUUUAUUUGCUCUGAAAACGUCCCAUCGGCACCUACCAAGAGUCAUGGCCCCCACGACAAAGCCCUGGGCAGCCACGCGCAUGUGAAUCAAGUGAAUGGACAUCUUCGUAUUUCCCCUGCUCUUCAGUUUGUAUAACCCAAAUGCAACAAUUGCUGCAAAUCCUGCCAUUCCUGAAAAACACAUAUUUAUAACUAUGUUAGAUGCAUGGGGGAAGGACCAAGACAGAACGCUUUUGUGAUGACAUUUAUACGAUGCUGAUCUUAUAACACUUCAACACAACUUUUAAAAAGGUAUUUUAGGAUCUAUUCAAUAGACAAAUUUACCGUGCUUGCGCUGGCCCAAGCUUCCCACACACUGGUUAUCAGAGCACCAGCCAACUCACCAAUGGGGACAAACGGUGUCUCUUUAGCUUUCCGAAUAAACUUGGACCCCUGGCCUUCAUCGUAUGAAGAAAGUGAAAGGUCUGUGUUGGUCGACAUUGUGAUUUCUUGAAGGGUCUUCCUGAAGGAGAAAAAGAUGUUUACAGUUGUGUAAUCAAAAGCAUCUAGAAUAAUAUUCAAUGCUGACAUGACCUACUACACCUACAUCUAUUUUCUGUGAACUUGAAAAACAAUUUUAGAAUUCUAUUUUCACAGUUAAAGGACUGUAUACAUUUA